AACGAACGCUGGCGGCAUGCCUAACACAUGCAAGUCGAACGAGACCUUCGGGUCUAGUGGCGCACGGGUGCGUAACGCGUGGGAACCUGCCCUUAGGUUCGGAAUAACUCCCCGAAAGGGGUGCUAAUACCGGAUAAUGUCUUCGGACCAAAGAUUUAUCGCCUUUGGAUGGGCCCGCGUUGGAUUAGCUAGUUGGUAGGGUAAAAGCCUACCAAGGCGACGAUCCAUAGCUGGUCUGAGAGGAUGAUCAGCCACACUGGGACUGAGACACGGCCCAGACUCCUACGGGAGGCAGCAGUGGGGAAUAUUGGACCAUGGGUGAAAGCAUGAUCCAGCAAUGCCGCGUGAGUGAUGAAGGCCUUAGGGUUGUAAAGCUCUUUUACCCGGGAUGAUAAUGACAGUACCGGGAGAAUAAGCUCCGGCUAACUCCGUG
rnacentral:rRNA from 1 species